CUCUGACUAGUUGAUAAUGCGAGUGUGCGUCCCUCCUGGCUCUGCUUCGUUUUGAUGACAGUAAUUAGUGAAUGACAAACUUGACUGAGGUCUGGGAUGGACGUUCGUGUAUUUGUGGGUGUGUAUUUUGUAUAUUUAACCUUUUGUGUGUGUAUUUGGUUUGACAGGGACACUAAAAUAAUUAUUUCCAGUCAGUCAGUGGUGUUUUUGACUUCUAAGAGGUCGUCCGAGGGGACAGUAAGAGAGAGGAGGUUGGACGAAGAGGAAUAAGAGAAUAAUCAAGAAGAAAAUAGACAGGAGCAGAGCAAGAAGGCAGCAGGAUGGGCUUUCAGCAGCUUGGGCCUCUUGUCCUCUACACUCUCCCUGGACUGUUGCUUCAGCUUCCUCAGCAGUGCUGUGACUGAAGGACACAGAGAAACAAAGACACAAAGAGAGAUGAAGAACACAACUGAGACCAAAAGCAUCAACAAUGAGGAAGCUUUUUGCUGUGUGGCUUAAGAGCUUCAUGUGGAAAAAAUUAUUCAAAAGUGGACUGGAUGACAGCAUUUGUUCCCUUAACAGAGGACUGUUAAUUUUUUCAAAUAAACUUUUGUUAUGUUGAAUCUGAUCCCACCAAUUAACUUGCUCCAAGUAAAGGAUUUAGUCACUAUAUUCAAAAACUAAUUUCUCCACCAUGUUUUUGUUGUUUUGGCAAACGACAAGCAUCCUUGCCAACCUCUGCAAAUAUGAUAAUUGGUUGCCUGAGAAGAAAAAAAAAAGAAAAAAAAACUCUUUUUCCUUUUUCUAAAACACUGAAUCUUUCUAAACUUUAAAGACCGCUACACUCUUCAGUAAGGAGCUUUUUUGAGAGCGCCUGCAUUGUGAGUGUUUUGAAGACUCUCUUUGAUUUUAUUUCAAUGUAAAGAAGGUGAUGGAAGUUUUGAUGCACGAACACUUCCAGAGAUGGCAGCUGAUAUUGCUGUACUAUCCGUCACCCACCUAAGCAGCUAAAAUGUGACUAAAACUAAUUUCAUAUCAAAAAGAUCAAAAAAAUAUUUUCAGGUGCAAAAAUUACUGCAGCAUUAAUCCAGCACUCUACAGGAAAGUAGUUCAGAUUUUGCCGCUUCUCUACAACACAGAUGGGUCCUCUGAGGGUUAAUGUUUAAGUUUGCCACAUGCUGCAAGAAAUGGAAAGUCUUAUGUUUAUGAAUGUACCAUAAGUCACCCCCAUUAUCGUAAGAACAGUAUCUCUAUGCAAAUCCGGCCAACAAUGAGAGCUGCUGAUGGCAAAGAGCACACAGUUUACGGUAACAAUGGCUUUUGGUUCAGAGGUAUGCCAACUUCCUGUGGCCACGUGGGACACUCCCAGCAGCAUCCGACCUUUCCCAGUGCACCGCCUGCAGGGAUCAAAACGUUCCAGGAAGUUUAAAGGGAACAAGCACGGCAGAUAUAGAGCUCCCUGCUAAUGAGCUGCACCUUUAACCUCCUUAAUGACCUUGGGGAGACACUUUCUCACAGGAGACUUUUAACCAUGGCGGUUUACAUUAACAAGUAUUCACAGCUCUUUAGCCCAUUGGCUGCAGAAGACUUGUUUUUUAGUGAAAAAAGAAAAUGGGGUUAAGGAAAAAAAAAAGAAAAAAAAAA